rnacentral:rRNA from 1 species
AACGAACGCUGGCGGCAUGCCUAACACAUGCAAGUCGAACGAGACCUUCGGGUCUAGUGGCGCACGGGUGCGUAACGCGUGGGAACCUGCCCUUAGGUUCGGAAUAACUCCCCGAAAGGGGUGCUAAUACCGGAUAAUGUCUUCGGACCAAAGAUUUAUCGCCUUUGGAUGGGCCCGCGUUGGAUUAGCUAGUUGGUAGGGUAAAAGCCUACCAAGGCGACGAUCCAUAGCUGGUCUGAGAGGAUGAUCAGCCACACUGGGACUGAGACACGGCCCAGACUCCUAGGGGAGGCAGCGGGGGGAAAUAUUGAAAAAGGGCGGAAGGCCUGAUCCACAAAGGCCGCGUGAGUAAUGAAGGCCUGAGGGUUGUAAAGCUCUUUUACCGGGGAUGAUAAUGACGGUACCGGAAGAAUAAGCUCCGGCUAACUCCGUG